GUUCCAAAGAGCAGCUUGUGUCCUAAAACCUAAGUGAUAAUUUAAAAUCUAAAACUUUUAGUCUUUGAAAAAUCACAUCUGAUAGAACCAAAUAGGGGAGAAAGUGAAAAAUUCUACAUUAGAUCAAAUUUUGAAAUGGAAAAGUCGUGUGGAAGAGAUAAUUCACAAAAACCAUAUUAUAAACGAAAUUAUAGUGUAACAUAAUUUUGACUAAUAAUAUCCAUAUUUAUUGUAUUAUAAUAUUAUGUGACCUGUAUAUAACGUAUAAUCGAAUCAACAAACGUUUAUUUGUUUACCUCUCAUUUAUACACAAUAUUAUAUAAU